CAGUCGCCGCGGUAAUACGUAGGGCGCGAGCGUUAAUCGGAAUUACUGGGCGUAAAGCGUGCGCAGGCGGUUAUAUAAGACAGAUGUGAAAUCCCCGGGCUCAACCUGGGACCUGCAUUUGUGACUGUAUAGCUAGAGUACGGUAGAGGGGGAUGGAAUUCCGCGUGUAGCAGUGAAAUGCGUAGAUAUGCGGAGGAACACCGAUGGCGAAGGCAAUCCCCUGGACCUGUACUGACGCUCAUGCACGAAAGCGUGGGGAGCAAACAGGAUUAGAUACCCGCGUAGUCCCUGUCUCUUAUAA
rnacentral:rRNA from 1 species